rnacentral:rRNA from 1 species
CCUACGGGAGGCAGCAGUGAGGAAUAUUGGUCAAUGGGCGAGAGCCUGAACCAGCCAAGUCGCGUGAAGGAUGACGGCCCUACGGGUUGUAAACUUCUUUUGUCAGGGAGCAAUUGGGUCCACGCGUGGGCUUAGCGAGAGUACCUGAAGAAAAAGCAUCGGCUAACUCCGUGCCAGCAGCCGCGGUAAUACGGAGGAUGCGAGCGUUAUCCGGAUUUAUUGGGUUUAAAGGGUGCGUAGGCGGAAGGUUAAGUCAGCGGUCAAAUGUCGGUGCUCAACACCGGCCUGCCGUUGAAACUGGUCUUCUUGAGUGAGCGAGAAGUAUGCGGAAUGCGUGGUGUAGCGGUGAAAUGCAUAGAUAUCACGCAGAACUCCGAUUGCGAAGGCAGCAUACCGGCGCUCAACUGACGCUGAGGCACGAAAGCGUGGGGAUCGAACAGGAUUAGAUACCCGAGUAGUC